rnacentral:rRNA from 1 species
AGUGCGAGGGCAUAGAGCCCUCGCUUUUCUGGACCGUAAGGUGGUCUAGGAACAAGGGCUGGGCAAGACCGGUGCCAGCCGCCGCGGUAAUACCGGCAGCCCGAGUGAUGGCCGAUAUUAUUGGGCUAAAGCGUCCGUAGCCGGCCGGACAAGUCCGUUGGGAAAUCGACGCGCUCAACGCGUCGGCGUCCAGCGGAAACUGUCCGGCUUGGGGCCGGAAGACCUGAGGGGUACGUCCGGGGUAGGAGUGAAAUCCCGUAAUCCUGGACGGACCGCCGGUGGCGAAAGCGCCUCAGGAAGACGGACCCGACGGUGAGGGACGAAAGCCAGGGUCUCGAACCGGAUUAGAUACCCGGGUAGUCCUGGCCGUAAACAAUGCCCGCUAGGUGUGCCGCAGGCUACGAGCCUGCGCUGUGCCCUAGGGAAGCCGAGAAGCGGGCCGCCUGGGAAGUACGUCCGCAAGGAUGAAACUUAAAGGAAUUGGCGGGGGAGCACUACAACCGGAGGAGCCUGCGGUUUAAUUGGACUCAACGCCGGACAUCUCACCGGUCCCGACAGUAGUAACGACGGUCAGGUUGACGACCUUACCCGAGCUACUGAGAGGAGGUGCAUGGCCGCCGUCAGCUCGUACCGUGAGGCGUCCUGUUAAGUCAGGCAACGAGCGAGACCUGCACUCCUAAUUGCCAGCAAUACCCCUGUGGUAGUUGGGUACAUUAGGAGGACUGCCGCUGCUAAAGCGGAGGAAGGAACAGGCAACGGUAGGUCAGUAUGCCCCGAAUGGACCGGGCAACACGCGGGCUACAAUGGCUGAGACAAUGGGAUGCGACGCCGAGAGGUGGAGCUAAUCCCCUAAACUCGGUCAUAGUUCGGAUUGCGGGCUGAAACCCGCCCGCAUGAAGCUGGAUUCGGUAGUAAUCGCGUGUCAGAAGCGCGCGGUGAAUACGUCCCUGCUCCUUGCACACACCGCCCGUCAAAGCACCCGAGUGAGGUCCGGAUGAAGCCACCAUCCGGUGG